UGGCUGAACUGGACUUGAAGGAUAC
rnacentral:piRNA from 1 species